UAGGGAAUCUUCGGCAAUGGACGAAAGUCUGACCGAGCAACGCCGCGUGAGUGAAGAAGGUUUUCGGAUCGUAAAACUCUGUUGUUAGAGAAGAACAAGGACGUUAGUAACUGAACGUCCCCUGACGGUAUCUAACCAGAAAGCCACGGCUAACUACGUGCCAGCAGCCGCGGUAAUACGUAGGUGGCAAGCGUUGUCCGGAUUUAUUGGGCGUAAAGCGAGCGCAGGCGGUUUCUUAAGUCUGAUGUGAAAGCCCCCGGCUCAACCGGGGAGGGUCAUUGGAAACUGGGAGACUUGAGUCCAGAAGAGGAGAGUGGAAUUCCAUGUGUAGCGGUGAAAUGCGUAGAUAUAUGGAGGAACACCAGUGGCGAAGGCGGCUCUCUGGUCUGUAACUGACGCUGAGGCUCGAAAGCGUGGGGAGCAAACAGG
rnacentral:rRNA from 1 species